UCUGAUUAGCUAGUUGGUAGGGUAAAAGCCUACCAAGGCAUCGAUCAGUAACUGGUCUGAGAGGAUGACCAGUCACACUGGGACUGAGACACGGCCCAGACUCCUACGGGAGGCAGCAGUGGGGAAUUUUCCGCAAUGGGCGAAAGCCUGACGGAGCAAUACCGCGUGAGGGAGGAAGGCUCUUGGGUUGUAAACCUCUUUUCUCAGGGAAGAACAAAAUGACGGUACCUGAGGAAUCAGCAUCGGCUAACUCCGUGCCAGCAGCCGCGGUAAUACGGAGGAUGCAAGCGUUAUCCGGAAUGAUUGGGCGUAAAGCGUCCGCAGGUGGCUGCUUCAAGUCUGCUGUCAAAGCUCAGGGCUUAACCCUGAAUCGGCGGUGGAAACUGAACAGCUAGAGUGCGGUAGGGGUAGAGGGAAUUCCCAGUGUAGCGGUGAAAUGCGUAGAGAUUGGGAAGAACACCAGUGGCGAAAGCGCUCUGCUGGACCGCAACUGACACUCAUGGACGAAAGCUAGGGGAGCGAAUGGGAUUAGAUACCCCAGUAGUCCUAGCUGU
rnacentral:rRNA from 1 species